GACGAACGCUGGCGGCGUGCUUAACACAUGCAAGUCGAACGAUAAAGCCUAGCUUGCUAGGUGGAUUAGUAGCGAACGGGUGAGUAAUACGUGAGUAACCUACCUCUAACUCUGGAAUAAGCGCGGGAAACUGGGUCUAAUACCGGAUACGACCAAUCUCCGCAUGGGGUGUUGGUGGUAUGCGUUAUGUAGUGGUUAUAGAUGGGUUCACGGCCUAUCAGCUUGUUGGUGAGGUAACGGCUCACCAAGGCGACGACGGGUAGCCGGCCUGAGAGGGUGACCGGCCACACUGGGACUGAGACACGGCCCAGACUCCUACGGGAGGCAGCAGUGGGGAAUAUUGCACAAUGGGCGCAAGCCUGAUGCAGCGACGCCGCGUGAGGGAUGACGGCCUUCGGGUUGUAAUCCUCUGUUAGCAGGGAAGAAGAGAGAUUGACGGUACCUGCAGAGAAAGCGCCGGCUAACUACGUG
rnacentral:rRNA from 1 species